rnacentral:tRNA from 1 species
GCUCACAUAGCUCAGCCGGUAGAGCACCUCCUUGGUAAGGAGGAGGUCAUCGGUUCAAGUCCGAUUGUGAGCUCCA